UACGUAGGUGGCAAGCGUUGUCCGGAUUUACUGGGCGUAAAGGGCGUGCAGGCGGUUUGUUAAGUGCAGGGUGAAAGCUCCCGGCUCAACUGGGAGAGGUCCUUGCAUACUGGCAAACUCGAGGGAGGCAGAGGAAAGUGGAAUUCCCGGUGUAGUGGUGAUAUGCGUAGAUAUCGGGAGGAACACCAGUGGCGAAGGCGGCUCACUGGCCCGGUACUGACGCUGAGGUGCGAAAGCGUGGGGAGCAAACAGGG
rnacentral:rRNA from 1 species